rnacentral:rRNA from 1 species
GAUGAACGCUAGCGACAGGCUUAACACAUGCAAGUCGAGGGGCAUCGGGGAGUAGCAAUACUCUGCCGGCGACCGGCGCACGGGUGCGUAACGCGUAUGCAACUUACCUUACAGAGGGGGAUAACCCGUUGAAAGACGGACUAACACCGCAUAUUCUUAUAUUAUCGCAUGAUAGAGUAAGGAAAUAUUUAUAGCUGUAAGAUAGGCAUGCGUCCCAUUAGCUAGUUGGUAGGGGUAACGGCUCACCAAGGCAACGAUGGGUAGGGGAACUGAGAGGUUUAUCCCCCACACUGGUACUGAGACACGGACCAGACUCCUACGGGAGGCAGCAGUGAGGAAUAUUGGUCAAUGGGCGAGAGCCUGAACCAGCCAAGUCGCGUGAAGGAUGAAGGUCUUAUGGAUUGUAAACUUCUUUUGCGGGAGAAUAACGGGCGCUACGAGUAGUGUUAUGAAUGUAUCCCAGCGAAUAAGCAUCGGCUAACUCCGUGCCAGCAGCCGCGGUAAUACGGAGGAUGCGAGCGUUAUCCGGAUUUAUUGGGUUUAAAGGGUGCGUAGGCGGCUUUUUAAGUCAGCGGUAAAAGGUUCGGGCUCAACCCGGACAUUGCCGUUGAAACUGGGGAGCUUGAGUAUGGAUGAGGUAGGCGGAAUGCGUGGUGUAGCGGUGAAAUGCAUAGAUAUCACGCAGAACUCCGAUUGCGAAGGCAGCUUACUAAGGCAUUACUGACGCUGAAGCACGAAAGCGUGGGUAUCAAACAGG